rnacentral:rRNA from 1 species
GACGAACGCUGGCGGCAUGCUUAACACAUGCAAGUCGAACGGAAAGUGCUGUUUUCAGUGGCGUACGGGGGUGUAAAACGUAAGAAUCUCCCCUUGGUAGGGGAACAACAACUGGAACCUGUUGCUAAUACCCCGGAGCCCGUGGAGGAAAAGAAGUAAUCCGCCCAAGGAGGGGCUUGCGUCUGGUUCUCGUGGUGGUGGGGUAAUCGCUUACCAAGGGGAUGAUGAGUAGCCGGUCCGAGAGGAUGACCAGCCACACGGGGACUGAGACCCGGGCCAAGCUCCUGCGGGAAGGAGGAGGGGGGAAUUUUCCGGAAUGGGCGAAAGCCUGACGGAGCAAUGGCGCGGGGAGGUAGGAGGCUCUUAGGACUUGAACUUCUUUUCUCCGGGAAGGAUCAUGACGGUAAUCUGAGAAGAAGGCACGGCCUAAUUCGGG